CAUCACAAAAAUAGGUUCGAUAGAUUCUGUUUUUCGGUGAUGGUAAACAGAAACAAUGCUGCAGUUGUAUCUUGGGAAUCUGAGCGCCAUAAAACCGUCACACUACGGGGCGUUUAAAGAUUUAAGGAAAGAGAUUAACUAUCUCGACUCUGCAAUUCUUCUUUAUUUUUAUAUUUUGGUAUUGAAAUUUUAGUUUAUGUUCUUAUUAUUCUUUACAAAUAUCAGUUGUCCUAUGGUAGUAAAAUAAGGUUCCUACACUCUUAAAUCUUUAAGUAUUGUUUAUGCUUUUGCACUAACAAUACUGAUAUUUGUUAAAAGUUAUUGUUUUUUUUAAGAACAGGUUAAUCGACGGUAUCGAAACAAAAUCUGGAUUUGUGUUUUCUUCAACCAGCUUUUGAGAUUGUGUAAAGCUUGUGUUCUUGAGCUAACAUUAUUUUUUGCAGGAUCGGUUGAAUUAUUUAAAAUAAUUCUCCUGCACUUACGUGUUUCGGUUGUGAUUUGCAUGAUUUAUUGAUUAUUAGUUUUAUUCCUGUUCAGUCAAUAGCAGUGAUCGAUCUUGUUUUCAGCACUAAUGAUAGUAACACUGGUUUAAGUUUUAUGAAACUAGUCAACAGGUGCUGAUCGUGGGUUCUAGCAAUCGAACGGGAAGAUAAAUUGCAGGUUGUGGUGUUUGAUUAUUGAUUAUAUUAAAUUGCAAAAUUUGAUGAUUUAAAAAAAAAAUUAUGUCAGUUUUUUAUCAUUUUCAAUAUGUUUUUUGAAAAGAAAAAGAGAAAAAAAAACUGAUGUAGAUUUUAUAUCCAACCGUUACAAAUUGCAAAGGAAAAAGGUUUAUUGCUUUUGGUGAAAGAUAUGUUUUAACUAUUGAUAUUUAAUUAGUAAAACAAUAUGUGGAAUAAAACGUUUUUCUGGAUUACUUACUGUGGAGUUGUUGUUUAAACUUUAUUAGUCAUAUGUUUGGUAUUGAGUAGUAUAUUAAUCUGGGUUUGGUUUCUAGUGAACAAACCCAUAUGACAAUAUAGCUAAACCAAAGUGAUUAAUAAAAUCUCGAUUUUUAAGAGAUCGAAUGAUAUAUAUAUGGAAAUGGAUUUAGUGAGUCGACGCCCCAAAUUAAGUUUGGGAGAGGUCUGCCACAUAUAAAUCAUUUGCCAUAGGAAAUAAAAUGUUUGUUGAUAUUGGUCAUAAACAUUUAUAUUUCAUCAAUGCUUAAAUGCAAGUUACAAGAAGAUUGACCAUGCAAAAACAAUGAUAAUUUUCAGACCAAUAUGAUUGAAACUGACAUGUGUAUUGUAGUUUAUAAAGUCAAUAUGGUUGAAAAUAAUCAUAUAUAAUGGUGGUUUUGAUAACACAAAUAAUAUCUUGUGUAUAUUUGUUAAAAAAGCAAAAUAUGUGUUUGGAAAAGAUCCAAAACAUACAAGUUAGAUUUAUAAAUCAACUUGAGAGAACUAUGAAAAUAGUUGUAUGUAAAAUGUGAAUUUUUAAGAAUGAAACACAUUUUUUCAAGAAAAUUGUAAUAAUUUUUGAAAUUGCUUUUAAUUCAUUUAAAUCUAAAGGAGUUGUAGAUUAAUUUUCUAAACUCUUAAGAGAUGUUAAAUGUAAUUAUGCAUGUUUUGAGCUAUCUCAAGAAAUGUGGGGGAAGCUUUGCUUACCAUAUAAAGUCGUUGGCAAGAGGUCAUAUGAACUUAGUGAUAGUUAUCACAAUAUAAUUUUUUUUUUCUUAGUGGUCGUUCAGAUGCGAUGCGAUUACCCGUGUUUUACCAGUGACUUUGAGGCGUCGACUCAUUCAAUCCAUUAAAAAAAAAAAAAACAAGCUAGUGUCAUACACUGAGUUUUGUGUAUAAUGGUUAAUUGUAUCUUGAAUAAAAGAUGACAAAAAUCAUUAGACAAUUGAUCUCCACUAAUCUCAAGAGAUUAUGUUCACUAUGGUGACAACCUAGGAUCUUUUAAUUAAAGGUGUGUCAUGAGAUCAAAUUGUUAUAUCAUCAAAAGGAAUGGGUCGCCUGUGAAUUAAGAUGAGGUUUCGCGGUAACUCUACCUAACUGACUGGAGAUCCCAAGAAAUAGGUUCAAGGAGACAACUAAGUGAAACUAAGUCUGUCCAAAGCACUGUAAGACUUCGGUCUAUACCCAGUUCCUAUGAUGAUUAAACAGUGCUACAUGUAAAGAAUACAGGAUAAGCAUUAGCUUUUAAUAAUUUGUGUCCAUAGCUUUGAGAUAUGAAUGGAGUAGUACAUGAUACUCCUCUAAACAAAGUUAAUGGCAAAUCACCUUGUGAGUGUGAAAUGGGGCCGUUUCUAGGAGAAUGAAGGAAAGGCUAUAUUCUCCAAGUUCACUCAUGAUUAACCAAGACUGUUCACGGCCAAAAUGAACACAAUAGAGAACCUAGUUCUGUGAGAGAAUGAAGCUGUGUUAUGGCUAUUGUCUAGGUUUAUACCAAAGCCCGGGAGGUUCAAGACAUCAUGGCCACCUCCUGGCCGAGUAAAUCCGAUAGCUAUUAACAAUGACUGGUUCAAGGCUGAAAAAUUGCUACCAACUCAUCAUGCAGUGGAUUUUUCGUUUGUACUCUCAAAAGUCCUUAGUUAGGUCUUGUCGAGUCUUGUCUAGGAAGUUGAGUCUUGUCUAGAAAGUCUGUCGAGUCAUCUAGUGUCUAGAGUCAUUUCUAUUCAUGUGGGGGAUUGUUGGAACUAUUUUUUGAACAUUAUGAAUAAUGUAUUCAUAUGUCAAAAAAGAAGUUUUAUUUGAAUGAGAAAUGGAGGUCUAAUGUGUAUGAUUUGAAAAACUUGUAUAAAGUAGCAAAUACACACAUUGGAUAUUUGAAAUUGGAUUUGGGUUUUUUGAUUUGUUAGUUGGACUUCAUGUUCAUUGACUUAAUCUUAUAAACCAAAUAUAUGUUGAUCUUUUAUAUUGAUAAAAUAUAAAAAAGAAAUCCAUUUUAAAGUAUAUUAUUUUGUUUGAAUUGGUCAAAACAAUAAUAAUUUUAUUCUUUAAUUUCUUGGUCAAAAUGUGGAAUAAAUUCACAUAAUAAUGACAAGAAUUAAAAAACUCCAUUAGUGCACUAUGGAGGUUUCAUUUUUGUGUUGAAAAAUGAAACUUGUGCUUCUCAUUAUAUUUCUAUAUAAAGGCUUGUGAGCCAUUUAGAAAACAUACACAUUCAUACAAUCAAGAACAUUUCUCCCACUCAGAAUAGUUAUGCUAGUAUUUUUUAUUCUUUUGAGUCUGAGAGUACAUCACAAAAAUAGGUUCGAUAGAUUCUGUUUUUCGGUGAUGGUAAACAGAAACAAUGCUGCAGUUGUAUCUUGGGAAUCUGAGCGCCAUAAAACCGUCACACUACGGGGCGUUUAAAGAUUUAAGGAAAGAGAUUAACUAUCUCGACUCUGCAAUUCUUCUUUAUUUUUAUAUUUUGGUAUUGAAAUUUUAGUUUAUGUUCUUAUUAUUCUUUACAAAUAUCAGUUGUCCUAUGGUAGUAAAAUAAGGUUCCUACACUUCACUAGGAACCUAGGUUCACAGCGAGGCAUCUGAACGACACAGUGGCAGACCACUCUCAAACUUAAUUUGAGGCGUCCACUAAGACUUAUGCGAAUAUCAUGAUCUCAUCUGAGAAUUUGGAGUUUAUAAACGUUUCCUAAGAACUUUGAUAAUUUUUUUUUUUUUUUUUGAAACACAACUUUGAUAAUAUUUUAUAAUACUUUUUCCAAAGUUUAGGGGCUUGUAUCUUUGUAUGUAAUCUCUAAAAAUGUUGGAGAUCAAAACCAAUGUUCCACAAGGAUGUGUCCAAAUUAAAUUCGGCUCUAGCGAACAUUCCUACCACUUAUGUGAGAUAUAUGCCACAUGGGUAAUCGCAUCGCAUCUGAACCAAAAGGAUGUAACUGGUAAUGAUCUAAAUAAAGACAGAAUUCAGUUUAAUUCUGAGUUCAAAUGCACAUAUACAGCAUUGCGACAAUUCAAGUGCACAAGAGGAUAGCCUUAUCCAUAAUAUGUAAUAUACGAUCUUGAAGACUCGUAAACUUAUAAUUUGUAAAAC
rnacentral:lncRNA from 1 species